rnacentral:rRNA from 1 species
AACGAACGCUGGCGGCAUGCCUAACACAUGCAAGUCGAACGAGAUCUUCGGGUCUAGUGGCGCACGGGUGCGUAACGCGUGGGAAUCUGCCCUCAGGUUCGGAAUAACCAUUGGAAACGAUGGCUAAUACCGGAUGAUGACGUUAAGUCCAAAGAUUUAUCGCCUGAGGAUGAGCCCGCGUAGGAUUAGCUAGUUGGUGUGGUAAAGGCGCACCAAGGCGACGAUCCUUAGCUGGUCUGAGAGGAUGAUCGGCCACACUGGGACUGAGACACGGCCCAGACUCCUACGGGAGGCAGCAGUGGGGAAUAUUGGACAAUGGGCGAAAGCCUGAUCCAGCAAUGCCGCGUGAGUGAUGAAGGCCUUAGGGUUGUAAAGCUCUUUUACCCGGGAUGAUAAUGACAGUACCGGGAGAAUAAGCGCCGGCUAACUCCGUG